UUAGAAAGUAUUGUUAAAAUUAGAACACUGAUUGGUAUUGAUCUUAUCCUACAUGGCAAUGAGGUCUCUCAAUUGCUGAAAAUCAGAAUAUUUUCAAAUAUAUACAUAUCUAUAUCUCCCAAACAAAACUUUUUUCUCGGUUAACUUCUGUUGUAUAUAUAACGCGCGUAGCAAGCCA